UUUCUUUUUUUAAUCUACAGCUGGAGUGCCAAAUUGUACCUGACACCAAGUAACAUUGUCCUGCUGACUGCGGUAGCCCUCACUGGCGUCUGCGUCUUCAUCCUGGCAAUAAUCGCCAUUUUACACUGGCAGGAGAAGAAAGCUGACGACAGAGAAAAGCGGCAAGAAGCACAUCGCUUCCACUUUGACGCUAUGUGAUUCUGCAUUCAGUGGUACAUCCUGGAAGUCACUUGAUUAGCGAAACACUAAAUUUUGACUCCUAGUAAAAAAAAUAAUGGAUCUGAGAUAUUUAUAAAUUAUGCCUUCCUUGUCAAUUAUUGGAAAAUACUGAAAUAAAUAUGGCCUGCAUAUCUCAUAAGGUCUGCUUUAAGCACUCUGUAUAUAAUAACCUAGGUUCUUUAUUCAGUGGUACUGAGCAUUCUUUUCCUCUGUGGAAUGUGUUGCAUGUACUCUGGUAUUUGUGUUUACAAUGUUGUUAGAAUUACGAUGGUGGAAGGACAUGUAAAUAAAAACUAUUUAAACGACCUGGGGCCAGGACAUUGUUCCACCUAAAUUGAUCUUGCUUUUUAUCUUAAAAAUGCACACUUUCUCAAAUAUGUGGCAGAUAAAGUUAUUCAACUAACAUUCUUCACUGCAGGGCAGAGCUCUCAUGAGUGGCAUGGAAUGAGACUAAUUAGCCAGGCUUUGGAAUCUCAGUAGGAUAGACUGCCUUAGAUGCCUGGUUCUACAGCUUACAACUCUCUGAAUCUGGCUACUGCUUAGCCUCUCUGUAAGCCGCAGUCUUGUUUAUAUGAUGUGGCUUAUAUGCCUGUUCACUUGAGUUAUCGUGGAUGUAUACUGUCUGAUGCACACAGUGAUCACUUGAAUUACCGUGGAUGUACAUUGUCUGAUGCACAUGUGAUCACUUGAGUUAUCAUGGAUGUACAUUGUUAUAUGAUGCACAUGUGUUCACUUGAGUUAUCGUGGAUGUACAUUGUCUGAUGCACAUGUGAUCACUUGAGUUAUCGUGGAUGUACAUUGUCUGAUGCACAUGUGAUCACUUGAGUUAUUGUGGAUGACAUUGUCUGAUGCACAUGGUGUGCUUAGCUCAGUGCCUGAGCAAACAGAAAAUGUUCCUGAGCAAACAGGAAGUGUUCACCAAGCGGAGGCUGUCCUUGCUCUUGCCGGUGAUUUAAUCUACUACUGUAUAGAAUGGAUCAUUAUUAUAGACAUAAGGACAUACUCUUUGGAAAGCUUAAAUUAUUGGUGGUACAUAUCUCAUAUAAUUAAUUUGUUUGACUAGCUAUAUAAUACUACCCAAGAGUAAAUGUAUCCUAAAACCUGGUACUUGAAUACUGAUCCUUGUACAGUGAUGUAAAUCAUUUGGUCUCUUGAAAGAAAGCUGACAGAGGCAAACUCUGGGGGUGCAAACUGCCAUCACAGCUCUGCUCGCAGGACGGGAAAGUCGGUCUCAGUUCUCUUCAGACCGCAGGGUUCAUACUAUGAACUUUACAUUGCCAAAAUUCACUUUAAAAUUAUUUAAAUUAGAGUUGAGGAGAGAGGUGAUAAAACUAUUAUCAGAGAUAACAAUAUUCAGAUUACUAAGACAUGCUGUGGCUGUAAACUAUAAAAAUUCCUCUGGAACAGUUUUGUCUGUGUUAUUUUCCUCACUGCAGUUCACUGAAGGGCAUGUGCUCCUUUUUAUUUCUAUUUAAGCAUGUUAAUGUAUCGUCUUAAUAAAUACUCCUUACUGAAUGAAAAAA